AACGCGAAGAACCUUACCAAAUCUUGACAUCUCCGUGAAAGUCUGGGCAAUGCCGGACCCUUCUUCGGAACACGGAUGACAGGUGGUGCAUGGUUGUCGUCAGCUCGUGUCGUGAGAUGUUGGGUUAAGUCCCGCAACGAGCGCAACCCCUGUUCUUAGUAGCCAGCAGUUCGGCUGGGCACUCUAGGAAGACUGCCGGGGAUAACCCGGAGGAAGGCGAGGAUGACGUCAAAUCAUCAUGCCCUUUAUGAUUUGGGCUACACACGUGCUACAAUGAGGGUUACAAAGAGAAGCGACCCCGUGAGGGUGAGCAAAUCCCAAAAAAGCUCUCUCAGUUCGGAUUGUAGUCUGCAACUCGACUACAUGAAGCUGGAAUCGCUAGUAAUCGCAGAUCAGAAUGCUGCGGUGAAUACGUUCCCGGGUCUUGUACACACCG
rnacentral:rRNA from 1 species